rnacentral:rRNA from 1 species
GAGAUCGGGAUAACACCUGGAAACAGAUGCUAAUACCGGAUAACAACAGAUGAUGCCUAUCAACUGUUUAAAAGAUGGUUCUGCUAUCACUCUUGGAUGGACCUGCGGUGCAUUAGCUAGUUGGUAGGGUAACGGCCUACCAAGGCGAUGAUGCAUAGCCGAGUUGAGAGACUGAUCGGCCACAUUGGGACUGAGANACGGCCCAAACUCCUACGGGAGGCAGCAGC